AGGCUCCUUUUAAACUGGAUCUCUGCCGAUUCCUCCCUUUUCGGCUGCGGCGUGCGACUCAGCUUGGUCCAGUUUAAGAUGCUGACAAAAUUCAGGUAUGGAUUAAACAGAGAGAAUUUGGCUUGAGUUAUUUUCUUAAAUGAAUUGUUGGCCAAAGAUGAGAACUCGAAUCUGAAUGGAUAUCCUUCUGCUCUGAUGGGUUAAAGGAUUUACCUGAGGCCAUCCUAAUGGGAAUUUAGUAAAAAGUAUGUUUUAAUGGAGGGGGGGAAGCUGCUAAUAAACAGGUAAUUUAUUAUGCCAAGAAAAUGGUUUUUUGUAAAAAAUGGAUAAAUGAUUGGCAUAAUAGUCUUUCAAAAUGUAAUUGCUGUUCUAAUUAUCCACCAUGAUACUUCUUUUCCAGGGCUGGUGCUUAGAAGCAGCUUUUCAAGGAGGUAUGGUAUAUUUGAACAUGUGAAAUAUAUGGAACAGAGUUUUUUGCUUUCUCUAUCCCUUUUAUGGUGGUGGUAAUUAACUUUGAUCUCUCUGACAAAAUGGAUCAAUAGAUUGCUAAGGAUCAGGGAAAAGUUUGUUGCAUAAGUUUCAAGGGGUGUGUUCAUGAGGAACUAUUCCUACAUUUUGAUUUAAGGUUGGUUUCUGCAUUUGUCAAAUUUCAGUGUUUUACUGAAUGUAAAUUCUUCAAUAAACAUGACUUAAAACUUA